UACGUAGGGUGCGAGCGUUGUCCGGAAUUAUUGGGCGUAAAGAGCUUGUAGGCGGUUUGUCGCGUCUGCCGUGAAAAUUCGAGGCUCAACCUCGAACUUGCGGUGGGUACGGGCAGACUAGAGUGUGGUAGGGGAGACUGGAAUUCCUGGUGUAGCGGUGAAAUGCGCAGAUAUCAGGAGGAACACCCGUAGCGAAGGCGGCACUCUGGGCCGAUACUGACACUGAGGAGCGAAAGCGUGGGGAGCGAACAGG
rnacentral:rRNA from 1 species